rnacentral:tRNA from 1 species
GAGAGUAUAGCUCAGUGGUAGAGCACACGUUUAGUACGCAUGAGGUCCUGGGUUCAAUCUCCAGUACAUCCU